CAAGGAUGUGCUGGGGGCAUUGCUCUUGUGACUUUAACGAACUACUCAGCCGGACAGACCUAGCAGAGGUGGUGGCACAGUGGUAUACCGCAGAGAGGGAGUUACCCUGGCAACUUUCAACAUCGGCUCUGGACCCCAUGAAGUCUCAUGGCACCCGGUUAAACAUGGACAAGGAAACCAACUGCUGAUUACCACGUACUGUCCUCCCUCAGCUGAUUAAUGGGUGGUCCCUUAGGAUCAAGAAUGCUUUGCUUCCUCACCAGUUCUUUGGCCUCAUCUAUCACCUCAGAACCCAAUGCAGGAAGCACAGAUUCUGCUACAGAUGCUUGGCAGGUGAGUAGUUUGUGAGGUGGUUUACUCCUUCUGCUAUUUUCACGAGGCCUUUGUGUGCUCCCAACAUAUGGACUUAAGAUGCUCAGUGCCAUCCUGAAUAAUUUCUCUCUGCUUUGAGCUGUCAAGUGCCAAGGAUUCUCAGUGGGGAUGUUGUAAUUCUUCAAGGAGGUUUGAGAGUGUAAUGAAUCUCUUCCUCUGCCCACCUGCUGACAGGGCUCAGCAGGUAAACAUCAGUGAUAAAAUUCAUCCUCACCCUCAAUCCCCCAGCACAGCCUUUGCCCAGCUGAGGAUCUCAGACUCAGCACAAAAUUCGUGGUCAACUCAGCUGCAGGGAUCUCUUCCCGCCUAUAUAUACUUUUGAGGCAGACGUGUAUAAAUACCAGCAAUACUAUCUUUGCAUAAUCAUUCAAAUUCACUGGAAGAAUAAACAAACUACAUUGAUGUACCUCCCAGGCAUUACUACUUUGGUUAUAGUCAGGAAGUUCUGCUGGGCACACCACGUUGUUUGCAUUCCCAA